UAGCAGUUACUCAGUACCACACCG
rnacentral:piRNA from 1 species